UCCCGGGUAGCUCAAUGGCAGAGCACAUCGCUGUUAACGAUGGGGUUGUCGGUUCGAGUCCGACCCCGGGAGCCA
rnacentral:tRNA from 1 species